AGGCAUUUGACUUGGGAGGGAGUAGGGGAAUAGGGAAAUAGGAAGCGUCUCCAACCUCUUGACCGUUUUCAAAAGAACUGAAAACCGAGGGAAACUAUUAAAGAUGCGUCCAUUCUGAUAGUGUCGUUGUUGGAGUGUUUGAAGAAGCAGUGACAGUGAUAGCGAAUGCGCGUAAGAAGUAAAUUGAAACCUUCCUCUUUUUCCUUUUUGUAAUGUACUGGAUCAAAGUAGUUUGCUUUGAAAUGAGAAUUUUCAUUCAAUUUGUAUGUGAUUAGGGUUUAGUUUGAUAUGCUAUAGAAUUGUUUUGAACUAUAAUGUGAAUAUCUAGGGUUUAACUGAGUUAUAGUCUGUUUUUUCAAAUAACAGAAUGGCUCGGUAAGAAUUGUAUGAUUUUAUUAUUACAUUUGAAGGGCGUGUAGCUACAAUUGAAAAUAUAGAUGGUGAGGAAUACUCUUAUUUACAGUUGGUAAAGGAUAUUUAGGAGUUACACAAUAUUGAGGCCUCAUUCAUAGAAAUAAAAUUUGGAGGGAACUUAUAGAAAGUGAUGCUGAUUUUAUGUGUAUGUUUGCGUCAUAUGAUUCUUCUUGUGAGGUUGAGCUAUUUGUUCAAGCUAGCCAUGUUGAACCUCUUGCUUUUGAAGAACGUGAACAAGGCUCUAAUGUAGUGGAAGAGGUGGUUAUGCAGCGCAACGUGUGCAGUGAUGCUGGGUUUAGGGAUGGUAGUGUAGUUUAUGGGGGAAUGAUUGAUGCACGUGUAGAGAGCUGUAAUAGAGGUGUGAGUGAGGAGGAAAAUGCAUAUGUCAAUAUAGUUGAGAAUGCAAAUGGAGGUGUCUGUGAUAAGGAUGUCAAUGUGGAUGAGAGUGCAAAUGUAGGGGGGCUGUGAUAGGGAUGUAACUGAGGAUGGAAAUGCAAAUGUAAGGGCUGUGAUAGGGACAGAAAUGCAAAUGCUGAAGAAUAUCAUUGUGCAAGUGGCUGUGAAGGGGUGUGAAUGAGGGGGGAAAUGAAAAUGCAAGUGGCUAUGAGGGCGAACCAGUGUUGGAUGUGAAUGAUAGGGGAAAUGAAAAUGCAGAACCAGUUGUGAAUUUGAAUGUUGUUAAACCAAGUGAAUGUGAACGAGGGGAGAACUGUUGUUGAACCACCUGUUAAUUUGAAUGAGAGGGGAAACGAUGUUGAACCAGAUGGGGGUACAAAUGUGAUACAGAGACAGAGGCAGGGGGGAAAUGUUGGGAAUACAGAUGUGAGACAAAGAUAGAGGCAGGGGGCAAAUAUGCAAGGAAUGCUUAGGGUCAGGGGAAUUCUCAAGAAUAUAUACAUGGUUCUAAUAUCUGGGACAAUAUAGCCCAUGAAUCUCCAUUGUAUGACAUGUGAGGUGAGAAAGAGGGCAGGUAGGCCCAAAAAUAACAGAAUCAAGCAAGAUGGUGAAGGGCCUCCGGCAACUAGAAGCACAAGGGCAAGCACAGUAAGAUGCAAGCAGUGCAGUCAGUUAGGGCAUACCAAGAGGACUUGCACAUCGACUCCAUCAAGCCAGUAGUCACAGAGACAGAGAUGGACUGCAGGUGCUGCUGGAUCAACAUCAGGACAAAGAGGAGCAAGAAAUGCAGAAACUGCAUAGUAGGAACACAACAUGGAUAAUAUCAACUUCUUUUGGGACUUAGGAACUUUAGAUCUUGGAUAUUUUGGAAUUUUGGCAUUUUGACAAAUAUAAAUUAUUUGCUACAAUGUAAAUUUGUACAAACACUAUAAUGUGCAUAGAUUGUUCUUCUUUGGGAUGAUUAUUCAUAGUGAUUUGUAAUAAAAAAAUCUAGAGGAAAUGUUGUUCUAGAUUUCUCAUAGCAAAUAUGUAAUGAAACAUUGUUUUUGGAUGAAUAGAAAGUUGCAGAAACUGUCUUUUGCCUUCA